AUGAAUUUCCCCAGUCUCAAGAAGCUCACCCUGUUUCACACUUCCAUCUCAGAGGACGUCUUGCACGCGCUGCUCUCCGGCUGCCAUGCCUUGGAGAGCUUAUACAUGGCCGAAGUUUCUGCUGCUUGUCGCCUCCGUGUUAGCUCGCCGACUCUUAAGACCAUUAUCUUCAGCCAUAGCUCUAGUGAAAUGGCACAACUGGUGAUCUUGGAUGCUCCUCGCCUUGUAAGGCUGCUGUUGCCGUAUUAUUACGGAAGCGAUCGUGUGACUAUCAGGGUAGCUGGGGCGCCUAUGCUGGAGAUAUUGGGCCCUUUCAUAGCCACCGUCUCCAAUAUCCUACUCUUUCAGGGAAUAAGCCCGGUCAGCUCGGCAAACUCGAUGCGCACCAUAAAGGUUUUGGCUCUCAGAUCUUCUGCAGAUAAGUUGCAUGCGGUUCUUAACAUCCUCAGGUGGUUCCCCUGUUUGGAGAGGCUCCAUGUCACUUUUGGUAAACACUAUGAUAUGGAUCAGCAAAAUGAGCCUCAACAUCACCCACUACAUCCAAUCGAAUGCCUUGAGGCCCAUCUCAAAAAAGUGGCGUUUAAGCCAUUCCAGGGCUAUGGGAAACAGGUUGAAUUUGCCAAGUUCUUUGUAUUGAAUGCAAAGGUACUAGACAAAAUUGAAUUUGAAGCAUAUAAUCACUACUGCAUUGAAAUGGUGGGUUAUGAACACAAGCUGCUACAAGUGGAAAAUAGAGCCUCUCGACACGCUCGGUUUGUAUUCAAGAUUAUUUCAUACUGA
rnacentral:rRNA from 1 species